rnacentral:rRNA from 1 species
GUGCCAGCCGCCGCGGUAAUACGGAGGGGGCGAGCGUUGUCCGAAGUUACUGGGCGUAAAGCGCGCGUAGGCGGGGAGCCAAGUCCGCUGUGAAAGCCUGAGGCUUAACCUCAGCGGGUCGGUGGAUACUGGUUCUCUUGAAGGCGUUAGGGGGAGAUGGAAUUACCGGUGUAGCGGUGAAAUGCGUAGAUAUCGGUAGGAACACCCGUGGCGAAGGCGGUCUCCUGGGACGUUCUUGACGCUGAGGCGCGAAAGCUGGGGGAGCGAACGGGAUUAGAUACCCUCGUAGUCC